rnacentral:rRNA from 1 species
GUAGGUGGCAAGCGUUGUCCGGAAUUAUUGGGCGUAAAGCGCGCGCAGGCGGUUCUUUAAGUCUGAUGUGAAAGCCCGCGGCUCAACCGUGGAGGGUCAUUGGAAACUGGAGAACUUGAGUACAGAAGAGGAAAGCGGAAUUCCACGUGUAGCGGUGAAAUGCGUAGAGAUGUGGAGGAACACCAGUGGCGAAGGCGGCUUUCUGGUCUGUAACUGACGCUGAGGCGCGAAAGCGUGGGGAGCAAACAGGAUUAGAUACCCUGGUAGUCCACGCCGUAAACGAUGAGUGCUAAGUGUUAGGGGGUUUCCGCCCCCUUAGUGCUGCAGCUAACGCAUUAAGCACUCCGCCUGGGAGUACGGCCGCAAGGCUG